rnacentral:lncRNA from 1 species
CCCAAAUCAUUUUCUAACAAACAACAGCUUGUAAAAUCAAGCUGCAGACAGACAAGCAAGCUGGAAGCUUGCAGGGAUGAAUCCCAGUAGAAAAGCACUAUCUGGGACUAGGCAUGUUCAAAAUGGCAGUUUCAUCUUCCCUUCCCUUUGCCAGCCACGUGUACAGUAAGGAGCAGACAAGAUGGCACCAGCCAAGUUGAAAGCCCAUUUGCAUAAUAAGAUAGGCAGGAACAUAUUCAAUGAAGGAAGAUCAGUUUCUAUGGAGAGUCAUUUCCUUUAAAUAGAUGAGCUAAUAACCGG